rnacentral:rRNA from 1 species
AGUGAACGCUGGCGGUAGGCCUAACACAUGUAAGUCGAACGGCAGCACAGUAAGAGCUUGCUCUUACGGGUGGCGAGUGGCGGACGGGUGAGGAAUACAUCGGAAUCUACUUUUUCGUGGGGGAUAACGUAGGGAAACUUACGCUAAUACCGCAUACGACCUACGGGUGAAAGCAGGGGAUCUUCGGACCUUGCGCGAUUGAAUGAGCCGAUGUCGGAUUAGCUAGUUGACGGGGUAAAGGCCCACCAAGGCGACGAUCCGUAGCUGGUCUGAGAGGAUGAUCAGCCACACUGGAACUGAGACACGGUCCAGACUCCUACGGGAGGCAGCAGUGGGGAAUAUUGGACAAUGGGCGCAAGCCUGAUCCAGCCAUACCGCGUGGGUGAAGAAGGCCUUCGGGUUGUAAAGCCCUUUUGUUGGGAAAGAAAAGCAGCAGGUUAAUACCCCGCUGUUCUGACGGUACCCAAAGAAUAAGCACCGGCUAACUUCGUG